UACGGAGGGUGCAAACGUUUGCUCGGAAUUAUUGGGCGUAAAGCGCACGUAGGCGGCUUUGCAAGUCCCAUGUGAAAUCCCACGGCUCAACCGUGGAAGUGCAUGGGAAACUGCAGAGCUUGAGUACUUAAGAGGAUCGCGGAAUUCCCGGUGUAGAGGUGAAAUUCGUAGAUAUCGGGAGGAACACCAGUGGCGAAGGCGGCGAUCUGGGAAGAUACUGACGCUGAGGUGCGAAAGCGUGGGGAGCAAACAGG
rnacentral:rRNA from 1 species